GAGAGGUGCGCGGCUUCUUGCUCCUCAGGAGGGCUGGCAAAGUUCACCGGGUUAUAAAGGAAGAUGGAGGCUGAGAGUGGAGGUGGGUUUGAGAAAACUGGGAAAGGCGUGGGUGGGAGACUGAGGGAAAGCAUAUGAAUUUGAGUUGCAUAAACUCUAGCUAAGAAGGUAAGAAGCUAGUAAGUAGCGUUUGGAAAGAGCCCUGCCAGCUGCCACACUGCCUGGCGCCCAUCGGUAUACAGACGGGGGUCACUAAAAGACCACAUCACUGUCAAUUGUUACAAGAACUGCAUAAUUCGAGGAGUGCCUGACAGCUAGUGUGAGGGAGUCCGUGGCACUAGAGUGAACAUAGUGGAAACGGCGCCCUCGGUCCUCACUUGUUUCAUCUGAAGAGUCACCAUCUGGAAUGAGACUUGCGGUGCGCUCUAGACAUACCUGCUGUUUGACCCCCUUGCUAUCAAAUGGAAAAUCCCCUGAACUCUGACCACUUGAUCUUGGGAUCUGUGGCUCUAUGAGGAGAAUGUGUUUCUUCUAUAUUCGGCACAGUCAAGGAUGCUGGAAGAGCCACUGGAAACUUCCAAAGUGAUGUGGGAAACACCAUUGAUGGUAUAUAUGGAAGACAUUAUCAGAGCAACUGACAGCCAUGAGCUGUGUGAAAGCCACCACCAGAGCCACUGAAACCUGAGAAGCCACAUGAGGGACACCUCUGGGGUUACAGGAACCCUCAAAGCUGUCAGUGCUUGGUCAGUAGAGAAUGUGAGCCUUGCCACACCUAUGUCUGGACUCAAGCCAGGGUCUUCUGAAAUAAGAGCUAGUGCUCUUAACAGCUAAGCUAAGCUCUCUCUGGCUCCCAAACCUUGCUUUUGAAGGCCUCAUUUUAUUUUAUUUUAUUAGCCUUUAAAAAGGGUCCUUGUCACAGCAGUUGCCACGCAGUCCCCAACUUUUUGAUGGAGCCAUGGUUAGAUGUACAGCAUUUAGUCACCUACAUUGUUCUCUAGAAAGUAUGACUACUCACAAUGCAACAGUGGACUCCAAGCCACUGAGACCAGCAUAGAGCUCUCAAACAUCACACACAUCACUCUUGCCUUUAGCUUGAGGGUGGUCCGCUGACAUAUGACAACUACAGGCACACUUCUGGUGACAGUAUCUCUGCCAGGUGAAGAGAAUGCCACCUCGCUUUGCAUUCCUUCAUUUUCUUCACAGCACACGCCCUCCAGAGUAGCAUGCUGGCUGCUGGGGCUCUGGGGAUGCGGCACUGAUCUAGAAAGAAGAGUUCAUGAUUUUCUCUGUGUCUGCCCAGAUCCUGAGUGAACACCAUCCCGCCUUUGUGCUGCCUUCACAGCCACACGAAGAUGAAAGUGUCUUAGGAUAUACCCUGGAGCUAUGCCAAACUGCUGGAUUGAAGGUUAUCAGUGCCCUGGAAAGCUCCCAGUGCAAAUGGAAAACUGUGAUACCCUGCAAUCCCUCCUCCCGCUGUACCCCUAAAGCCAAGAGGGGUUCUGAGCAGCACAAUGCUCAGACCAGACCAGUGUAGGAGAGAUUCCUCCCAUCAACAUCCUCAAAACUAUCUCAGCUGAAACUCUAGUGGGAUUUUUUUUUUCUGUUUGAAAUGAUGGUUUCCCUGAGGUCAAGUGGAAAAGCCAUCUUCAGAAACAGGUCUAUUUAGAUCCACUCAUAUUCUACAGAAUUCAUGUGGUCUCUUCAAAGCAUCCCAGGCUCAGUGCACAAACACUGCUGUGACCACUACUGACCCCUGUGGCGGCGGCUGCUGGCUGCUGCUGCUGCUGCGUAAUCAGGGACAUCAGCAAAGUGAGAGAGCAGGGUGAACUGUGACCUUGUAUUAAAAUGACCCAAUGGCUCCUCAUGUGGAUGUGGUGACACUUUGCCUUGAAGAGUGGACAGGUGGCCACAUCUGCAAUAUUUCCUUUGCUGACACCUCCUCUGAAAUCCCCACUAACCAGCCCCUGGUUGCUCAGAAGUCACUAACACCACAGAUCCGCUCAGUGCCUGCUGUCUGCCUGGUUUGAUGAAAAGUCUAUAGCGAGAGUCAAAAUAGACCUGCUGUUUUUAAAGUGAUGCAUAAUCCUGUACACCAUGAUGUGUGUUUCCCUAAGAUGGAAACCACAAAGCGGCAGGGGCACAGCCCACAGCCAAGCCACCUGUCAAGGUCACCCUGGCAGAGAUAACUCCGACACCCUUCUUUUAGAAUGAGAUACAGAAACUAUAACUAUACAAAGACAACUAGGGACAAUGGAUACUUAAACUGCUCAUGGUCCAGCAAGAUGGUUCUCAGCAGGGUACAGAGGUCACUUGCUCUAUGAGCCCAAAGUCAUGAGUUCAAUUCCUUGAACCCACAGUAGAAGGAGAGAACCAACUCACAAAAGUAAUCUUCUCACCCACCCCCAGCACACACAAUAGUAAAUAAAGUCAUAAAAACCG
rnacentral:lncRNA from 1 species